UUGAUUACGUCCCUGCCCUUUGUACACACCGCCCGUCGCUGCCCGGGACUGAGCCAUUUCGAGAAACUCGGGGAUUGUUGGUCUGUCAGCUCUCGGGCUGCCGUUCCGGCGAGAACCGAUUUAAUCGCAGUGGCUUGAACCGGGCAAAAGUCGUAACAAGGUAGCUGUAGGUGAACCUGCUGCUGGAUCAUUACCCACUGAC
rnacentral:rRNA from 1 species